ACCACGCUUUGCAGCACAUACAGUGCUCCUUUCACUGACCAUCAAUGAAAAAGCACUUCUGGAAGUGUGGUGGGGGCUGGAUAAAUGGCCUCAAGGGGCUGCAUGUGGCCUUCAGACUGUAGUUUGGGGAUGCCUGCUUUAAUGUGGGGAAGGAUCAAGAGAGAGGGGAAGACAGUACCAAAUAAAAAGAGUUUGAUCCAACUUUGGCAGAUCCAUGUCUUAUAUUGGUGAAUAAUCCAGGACCAUAAUAUAGAUAGACCACAUGAAAGUGAGAAAAGCUGUUGAUGAGGUCUUUGUUCCUACCUCUCAGGAGAUUUCAGUCAAUGGACAGCAAAAAAGAUGAAAAUGUAGAAAGAAAGGAAAAGGAUCAUGGUUCUGGUCACUGCCUUUUCAAAAGCUGAGAUGUCAUCAUAGAAGAUUCUCAGUAUACCUCUGACUUCACAGAAGUGAAGAAUGUUUCUUGGGCUACAUAUAGAUGAAUGGCACUGUCAAAGAAAGGCUACAGUCUGGACUCAAUCUGUCCUACCUCAGAAGGGAGAAGGAAGGAUGAGUCAUUGUGAUCAUAAGAUAUUUUGCCAGACCACUUUGGUGUAAGGGGUUGCCUAACACAGAGUUUUCCAGAAGAUGUUAAUGAACUCCAUGUUUUCCCCUUACUAUGGAAUUUGGAAAUCCCCUUUCACAAGCAAGUUAGCAUGGUUAUGCCUAAUGUAAGCCCAACACCAUAACCAACCAUAUAAAGCUGAGGUCUAUCUACUCUAAUGCAUCCUUGGCCACUGAGGGGCUUGGGAUCUCACUUUAUUGGCAACUGCUAGCCUUGCUAAUAAAUUGAUCAUGCUCAGAAA